GACGAACGCUGGCGGCGUGCUUAACACAUGCAAGUCGAACGAUGAACCCGGAGCUUGCUCCGGUGGAUUAGUGGCGAACGGGUGAGUAACACGUGAGUAACCUGCCCUUGACUCUGGGAUAACUGCGGGAAACUGUAGCUAAUACCGGAUACGACCCUUGGCGGCAUCGCCAGGGGGUGGAAAGAAUUUCGGUCAAGGAUGGACUCGCGGCCUAUUAGCUAGUUGGUGAGGUAACGGCUCACCAAAGCGACGACGGGUAGCCGGCCUGAGAUGGUAACCGGCCACACUGGGACUGAGACGCGGCGCAGACUACUACGGGAGGCAGCAGUGGGGAAUAUUGCACAAUGGGCGCAAGCCUGAUGCAGCAACGCCGCGUGAGGGAUGACGGCCUUCGGGUUGUAAAUCUCUUUUAGUAGGGAAGAAGCGAAAGUGACGGUACCUGCAGAAAAAGCACCGGCUAACUACGUGCCAGCCGCCGCCGUAA
rnacentral:rRNA from 1 species